rnacentral:rRNA from 1 species
UACGUAGGGGGCGAGCGUUGUCCGGAAUCAUUGGGCGUAAAGAGCUCGUAGGCGGUUCAGUAAGUCAGGUGUGAAAGCUCCGAGCUCAACUCGGAGAGGCCACCUGAUACUGCUGUGACUAGAAUCCAGUAGGGGAGUGUGGAACUCCUGGUGUAGCGGUGAAAUGCGCAGAUAUCAGGAAGAACACCAGCGGCGAAGGCGGCACUCU